AUUAACUAAAUUUAACGCCGACAUAGAAAUCGUCGGAAUAUUGUGACGUCUUUGGCACCG
rnacentral:tRNA from 1 species